rnacentral:rRNA from 1 species
CAAUAGCGUAUAUUAAAGUUGUUGCAGUUAAAAAGCUCGUAGUUGGAUUUCUGGUUGAAGCGACCGGUCGGGCGUUGAUUCGUCUGCACUGGAGUCGGUUUUGGCCAUCCUCUAGGAAAGUGCGUCUGGUAUUAAGUUAUCGGGCGUAUGAUCCUGGUCUUUUACUGUGAAAAAAUUAGAGUGUUUAAAGCAGGCCUUCGCCUUGAAUACAUUAGCAUGGAAUAAUAAGAUAGGACUUUGGUCUAUUUUGUCGGUUUGCAGACCGAAGUAAUGAUUAAUAGGGAUAGUUGGGGGUAUUUAUAUUCCGAUGUCAGAGGUGAAAUUCUUAGAUUUUCGGAAGAUAAACUUAUGCGAAAGCAUUUACCAAGGAUGUUUUCAUUA